rnacentral:rRNA from 1 species
AGAGCGAACGCUGGCGGCAGGCUUAACACAUGCAAGUCGAGCGGGCGUAGCAAUACGUCAGCGGCAGACGGGUGAGUAACGCGUGGGAACGUACCUUUGGCUCGGAACAACACAGGGAAACUUGUGCUAAUACCGGAUAAGCCCUUACGGGGAAAGAUUUAUCGCCAAAAGAUCGGCCCGCGUCUGAUUAGCUAGUUGGUGAGGUAACGGCUCACCAAGGCGACGAUCAGUAGCUGGUCUGAGAGGAUGAUCAGCCACAUUGGGACUGAGACACGGCCCAAACUCCUACGGGAGGCAGCAGUGGGGAAUAUUGGACAAUGGGCGCAAGCCUGAUCCAGCCAUGCCGCGUGAGUGAUGAAGGCCCUAGGGUUGUAAAGCUCUUUGUGCGGGAAGAUAAUGACGGUACCGCAAGAAUAAGCCCCGGCUAACUUCGUGCCAGCAGCCGC